rnacentral:tRNA from 1 species
GGAGGGGUGGCUGAGUGGCCGAAAGCACCGGUCUUGAAAACCGGCGACGGGCGACCGUCCGAGAGUUCGAAUCUCUCCCCCUCCG